rnacentral:rRNA from 1 species
UACGUAGGUGGCAAGCGUUGUCCGGAAUUAUUGGGCGUAAAGCGUGCGCAGGCGGUUUUGCAAGACAGAUGUGAAAUCCCCGGGCUUAACCUGGGAACUGCAUUUGUGACUGCAAGGCUAGAGUGUGUCAGAGGGAGGUGGAAUUCCGCGUGUAGCAGUGAAAUGCGUAGAGAUGCGGAGGAACACCGAUGGCGAAGGCAGCCUCCUGGGAUAACACUGACGCUCAUGCACGAAAGCGUGGGGAGCAAACAGG